CCAGCCUCUGCAGGGUGGAGCGCAGCGUUCUGGCAAUAGUGAGGUUGGGUUCCUAGAGGCUCCAGGCGGGAAGCAGUCCUAUUACCAAAGCGCACUCCUACACUCUGUGAAAUUAGCCAAUAUAAUUCCAGCUACUUAGGAAAGAAAUGUAAACGUGCUGCUCGACAAAAUGUUCAUCAUUCUCCAAACUUUCAUUCUCUUCCUGCUGCCAAACAUCAGCUGCCAGGACUGAUCCAGGCAGGAAAGACACCUGGUUGGGAUUUAAUUGACUGCAGUUACCCUCAACCCAGGAGAGUGCAGGGCUCAUUGGAAGGAGGAAGAGCUCCAAGCUCAGCUCUGCUUCUUAUGGUGCCUGUGCUUGAGCAAGUUGUUGAGCCUCUGCUCUGGCACCUGACCACCAACCAUCAAAUCACUCCAAGCAAAUUCAAGACUUUUCUGGAAGAAAUGAACUGCUUUGACCAGAGUACUAAAUUUUACACACAGACACAUACAGUACUUAUUAAAUUAUGAGUUGAACUAUUGUCUGUCUUUAAUAUAAGAUCUAAAAACUGAGAAUCAUGAUUAGGCUAACUCCCAAGCACAUGGUAAAUGCUCAAUAAAGGAUAAUGACUAUUA